GGACGCUAGUACAGGUGGUGCAUGGCUGUCGUCAGCUCGUGUCGUGAGAUGUUGGGUUAAGUCCCGCAACGAGCGCAACCCUUACCCUUAGUUGUUUUCCCGAAAGGAUUACCCUCUAAGGGGACUGCCCCGGACAACGGGGAGGAAGGUGGGGAUGACGUCAAGUCCGCAUGCUCCUUACGCUAGGGCUACACACGUCCUACAAUGGGGUCGACAGUGGGAUGCAAAGCCGCGAGGUGGAGCCAAUCCCCAAACGGCCUCUCAGUUCGGAUAGUAGUCUGCAACUCGACUACUUGAAGUCGGAAUCGCUAGUAAUGGCGGAUCAGCAUGCCGCCGUGAAUACGUUCCCGGGUCUU
rnacentral:rRNA from 1 species